AAAAAGAAGGUUUUAAUGUUGGUUUCAAGAACUAUUGGAUAGUUAAUUGUUUUUAAAUUUAUGUGGCAUUUAUAAAUAGAUGAUAUUUUUAAGAGGGUUGUCAGAAAAUAAGGUUUCUUAUUAUGAACAUAUGAAUCAACAAUAUAGACAAAAAAUGGCAAAUUAAGUUUUUUCAUGUAACAAUCAUAGGUUAAAUUGAAACACUAAAAUUCUUUAAACUUUAUAAAGUUAGUGAACUAUAUGACCUGCACGCUGUGUGUGGGGGAGCAAUCUAGUUUUAAUAUAAAAGAAUAUAUUAACUAGAUUCAAUUAGGCUUGUUCAGUGCCUGAGCAGAGUCGAACUUUACUAUACUCAAGUUGGGCUCUUUAUUUUUUAGACGAAGCUCGAACUCAAGAUAGAAAAUUUUAGCUUAUUUCGAGCUCGAACCUAUUUGACUCUGGCUCGUUAGCCUUGACGACCCAAACUCGAGCUCAAUUCGAACUUUGCUCACUAAAAGCCUCUUAUGAGUCCAAUUGGAGUUGAAUUUGAAGUUUGUACACUUAGAAAUAUCGACGAGUCAAGUUAAAAAACAUACUAUCCUAAACUUUACAAGUCUUUACUAACCUAAACAAUGUACCAUUUCCAUUUUCAGCGGCACAAUCACAAAUUACAUAUGAUUUGUUGUGUAUGUUGCAUUUUUCAGUAUGCUAACGAGCCAUAUAAUAGACUUAGCAUUCGAGUUGGCUAUUGAGCUUGAACUCAAAACAACUUGUGAGCCUAUCAAAUCGAGUAUACUGAGACUCAAACUUGGCUCGUUUAAAAUUGAAUAAAGUAACAAAUAAUUUUUUUUCAAACUGAAAGCCAAGCGGCUUGGCUCGGCAACAGCCCUAGGCUUCAAUUCAAUUGCAGGGUCCCAGUUCACCUCAUCCUCAUUUUCUUUUUAUCAUACCUCAUCAUUAUAAAAAAAAACCUCAUUCGCAUUACAAACGAACUGUUUAGUCAGUUUCAAAACAAAAACUAAAUCAUAAUAAGCUCCAUGGCAGGGUUGGGACGGUUUAAUCCAGCAAAUAUAAUUCUCAAUCGACGUCAAUGAACAGUGGUCUAUGUUUCAAGAUAGGCACACAGCAGCAUAUGACAGAGAUAACAAGGUUCAAAUAAGAGGAAGAUACAAUUGAUUUGAUUGGUUUCUGAGCAGUAUAAUUCGGAGGUGGGCUGUUCUGGGAAUAGACCUGAGGUUCGGAUUAUCCAUAUCGACAAAAACAUAAGAUGGAUAGUAGCAGCUGCCCCACAAAAUGACACAAAGCUGUCAAAUUAAACUCAUCCUACUCGUAAACCCAAUGAUUUGUAAAAAGCACAACAACAUUUUCCACUUUGCAGCUAAAGGAAGCCAGCAAUUCUCCAUCUUGCAAGUAAGCAUGGCUGGGGAUCAAGAUUCGUAGCAGCAAUAAUACUAGUACUAGUAAAGCAAAGUGGUGGUGGGCUGUUGCCUAAAAGGCAGAAAAACAAAGGGGCCACUCACCCAUUAUAUAACUAUAUAUCUCCAGGUAGUGAUGGAUUAGGUUUCUUCCAAAAUUCUAUCGUACAAGUUGAUGAAGUCCAUAAUACAUCUGAAUACAGUUUCAUCACGGACUGAAAUAUUUGGUAAUGUUUCACCAACAUUGAAAUAUCAGCAGACAAUCCAGACAUGCUAAUGCUACUACCAUGAUAUUAAAGAUCCAAUAACUAGCAGACAAUCCAGACAAAUGCUAAUGCUAGUAGCGUGACAAGAAAUUUGCUUUUUCUUCUCGGACCUACAAAUAGUACAAAUCUCCCCACUUAUUCAUGUGAAUGCUGUCCCCAAAGGCAAGAAGAAAGUUUAGUUUACUGACCUCAUCUCAGCAGUCAGUCAGCCGGGCCAAAUCCUCAGUACAAUAUUCAACUUGCAGGUCCGAAAUAAUUGAGCCAGGCGCUUCUCUUGAUUUUAUCUUGGUUGGUUGGUGUAGGGGACCAUAAAUAUAAUGAAUGUUCAUCCUUCCUCAGAAAGGUCAUAUCUUAUGUACCCCUUCCAUACUUGCAAUCUUGAUAAAAGCUGAUAUUAUGAUAAUGCGCAACAGCUUACUAGUUUGAAAUUAUGUGUCUGGAGCACUAAUCAUGACAAAACAACACAGGCCACAAACCCAUGAAGCGAAAGCGGGAGGUCAAAACAUUUUGAACUAUGGGUUUCUUGCCUUUCUGGAAACAGCAAUCACACUUCUAUAGGUCUAGGACUUGAUGCCAGGAGAAAGCAGCUAAAAAAGUAUACUGAAAUUACAAUGCAUCUAAGGCUUUGUUUGGCAAUUAGAAUCAUGUCUCAUGGGAUUAGGGUGAGAUUAUUGGAAGAAAGUUGUGUUGAGAUUGAGAGAAGUUGAACGAUACAAAGAAAGUUGGACGAUAUCACUCUAUUCAACAUUCCGACCUCAAUUCAACUUUCUUUCACAGUUCUACUAACUUUAAUUCAACUUUCUUUCACAGUUCUACUAACUUCAAUUCAACUUUCUUAUAAAACAUGAUUCUUGUACUCGUCAAUAGAAGAAUAUAACAUAUUCAUAUACCUACAGAAGGCAGAAGAAGUUGAUAAGGAAUUCACAAAAGCCAGAAAUAUUUAACUCCACCAACAUCGCAUGUCACAAGAGAAGCUGAUAUAACAAUUAAUAUGCACUCCACGUACUCUGUGAAAAUACACAGGUACAAGAACAAUAGUAGUAAGAAAGCACAUAUGGACAUUUUCCCUUAAUGGACCAGAGAGAAGGUGAGGCCGUAAAUCAGUAAACCAACUAUCGAAUUACAAUCGCAUGUAGCUGCAUACCUAGCAUCUGAGCAAUUAAGCUAUCAUCGAAUAUUUAUUGAUUCUACUGCCAGAGCAGAGCAAGGAGAACACAAAAACCAACGAAGAAAAGCAGCCUUUUGAGAUAAUAAUCUUGCUGCCCUUGCCCUUGAUGCUGCGGAUAUGCAUGCGCGUGGCCACCAUGAAAUGAAUUAGUGAACCCAUAAGGAAAACCAGUAGCACCACCAUACAUGGCCGCUUCUGGAAAUCCAUGAACAUUAAGGUUGAAGAGUGAAGGGAAUAGGCCACCGAAAGCUGCUGAAAGAGUGAAACUCCCAAACCUAGCCGUCGCCGUAGGUGCGAAACCUCCCAUGAAUCCAAAUCCAUGCGGAGCAAAAUGAUGAUUUGGUUCCGGAGGUGGAGGAGCCGUUUCGGGCCUCCGUCCAGCUGGACGGUUCGGAAUAUUGACACCAGGAAUGGACUUGGAUCUCGGGUCCGUAGAUGUUUUACCCCUGCCAUAUAGGGGAACCAACUUCUGCUCCUCAACUAGAGCCUUGCAAACAGGACAUUCCCUAGACUGAGAGUGAAAGUGUAGCCACUUAUAGAGACAAGGCCAACAGAAAAGAUGGCCACAGAGAGUUACAAUAGGGUCUUGCGCUAGGUCGAAGCAGAUAUUGCAUUCGAAGUUGCCUGCAUCGCCAUUGCCAUUGCUGUUAGAGAACGAGGGGCUUUGAGGUUGCCUGCUGGUUGAUUCCCCAAACCCACUGGCCAUUUCUGGAAACCAAAAUUUCAGCUCCUAUAACCCACAACACUAGUCAGAAAUAAUAGAUGCAAACGGAGCCACCAGACCCAGAACGCCCUUCUUUCAUUAAAGAUGCAGUCUUUGGCAUAAUACGGUCAUUAGUAACCAAGCAAGAAGAAAAACCAGCCUGCCUAGUUAGAUUAAGAAAGGAUCAGAUUGAGUCGACUCGUGAUUUACAAUUGAACAAAACUAAAAAAACACAAAGUGAAUUCGCUAGUUCCCUUCAUCACAAUCGAAAUUCAUGAAAAUCAAAAGCGCAAUCAAUUGAAAUAAUCCAUAAACCCUAAAAUAGGCAAUUAAAAUCAAAUUAAUUCCAUCAUCCGAUACAUAUCCAUGACCUUGUCCACCCAGAAAACUAUUAAGAGGCGAAAUUGGAAGAAGGGUAAAUCGGAUGAGGAAGAAGCGAGAUUCAUAAGAGUUGUGAUACUGACCUUGGGGGCGAGGGAAUUGGACCGAUCUCUGCGAAAUUGAUCGACUGUGGAGAAGAGUCAAACGGGAGGCCGCGGGGUAAAUCUUCUCGCAAUGAAAUAUAAUAUUUUUUCAAUUGUCAGAAUUUAACUUUGACGCUUCAGUCCUCCCUCCAUAAUUGAUUAUUUAUUUUUAUUUCCAUUUUCCCCAUCUUUCAAUUUUCACGCCAAAUUCAUGUCAUCCCUUGUUUGUGGUUAUUUACGGUUAGCUUCCUAACGUAUUAUGAAAUUAACAAUUUAGUCUACUUCAAUCUUUGAGAGGAAGUUGUACUAAAGGCCACUAACAUUAUGGUUGUCAAAACAAUUCUGAUACUCUGAUAACUGUUUUCAUCGGAGCUAAUUUAGUAGUUGAUGCAACUUUCCUUCUCUUUGAACUUUCUUCUCAUGCUCGUUGAUGCAACUCCGGCAUCCUCUUCCUCUUCACCGUCCCCCGAUGCUGUUCUGCCCUCCCCUCAGGUCAAGUCUUUGGGAAGCUAUUGUCUCUGAUUUAGAUCUCGAGCUCAAAUGUGUGGAUCUCACGUCGGCUUGCUUUGUUGAUGCUGGGAUGCUCCGUUUUCUGCAUGCAGUGAUUGCCAAGGGUGUUCAGAACUUCGUAACUAGCUAUAAAACUGCAGUAACAAGUUAGUUAUUGAUGCUCCGUUGUGUAACCAUUUACAUAUUAUUAUAAUUAGGUAUGCAAAGGUGGUCGAUUCAUGAAACUAGUUAUUAUAGAAUGAUGUAACUAGUUAUAGACGAUUAUAAUCAGUGAUUCGUGCAAUUAGUCACAGAAAAUUAUACCCUAUUACUGAUCAUUAUAAUCAUUUAUAGAAAACUAUAACUUGUUACGUACGAUUAUAAGAUGUUACCGAAUAAAAGAUUACAGAAUAAAAGUAUGUACAAAACCAAACAAAAUGCUUUGUAAUUCCUUUCCAAAGGCCUUCGGCCUAAGUGUUAAUAUUCUCUUAGAUUCCUGACCGACAUCAACAAGCCUCUUUUUCUUUGAGCACAUUACCCUUUUUUCACUAUUUUCUCUUUCGUUUAUCAGAGAAUCCCCUCUACAAACAAAGUGACUUUUCAAUCUUUUUGAAAGCCAAUUACCUUCGCCAUCUCUUCCCAAAACCCCUUUUGAAACCCACAUUCUCCCUUUUGGAAACUACUCACUACUGCUCUAUCUAUAUUUUACAAACUUCCUUUCAAUGAAGUACUACUCGAAACUAGCAUAACCCGCAAUCGACUCAACCAUGAUACUUUCAUUCCCUCGACUCCUGUGCACUGACCUUCACCUUCUUCUUUACUGCUGAAUAGUGUUUGGUCAGAGCAGUCGAGUGAUGCCCCGCAUGCUGAGUUGUAAGCCAUGCACGCUGAAUGGAAAACUCGCAGCCUGUUGUCGCUGUCUUUAUCACACUUUUGAAUAGAGAUCUGGUAUGGAGGUAGAAGAACAGUUCAAAUAAGUGAUCCAUCAUUUCACAUAAGGGUUGAAAUAAAAGGGUUCCUUACCCAGCACGCUAGUCGUUUAGCAGCUGCGUCACAAUAGCUGCUUCCGAAUAGGUUGAAUAGCUUACGAGCACCACCUGGGAAUAAUCUAUGGUAAUUUGGCAUUACAACAACUUCUUCUAGUUGUUGCAGUAUGCUUGAUUUCUGUGUGACAGCUAAUGUAACUUAUAUUUCAAAUUACUAAUGCAGAACAUGAUGAAGAUAACAAACUUAUCAAAGAUGAGAGUUUCAAAAGGAUCAAAUUACCGGUGGCACAGUCGACGCCAGUGUAACUCUUUCUGCACUUGCAGACACCAUCUCCAAGGCACUUGCCAUUUCCGUUGCAAUUACCAGGGCAGACUCCUGCAAAAGGAAUUCACGAAACGAAAUAGCAAGUCAUUUUUUAGAUGUUCACAUCGCACACAAAAGUUAUGUUGCAUUAAUUGUAGCUUAUUCUGCCAUCAUGGUACAAAAGUAGAGAAGUUCAGGCUUACGUUUACUGCAAUCAUGACCAUGAUAACCUAGGAAACAGUGGCACCUCCCAUCGAUGCAAUCCCCAUUGAAGUUGCAUGAUUUAUGGCAUUGGCCAGAUACAGGGAGAGGAUCUGUAGCACAGAGUUCAUGAUAGGCUGGGCAGAUGAGUUCACCUGCAAAUGAAGGCAAAUAAGAACCAACUCGAAGCCAGAAAAAGGAUUCUAGAAGAAAAAUCAUAAUCAAGUUACAGAAAAGCUAGAUUACCAUUAAAUCCAGGAAACUCAAGUGGUCCACCUGCUUCUGGACAAACUUUCCAUUUUCCAUCCACGGCGACCUGUGAAAGAUGAUAUGACAACCAAAUCGAUCAAAAGACCAAGCCAUGAAUAGAGCGUAAAAAGAACACAAAGUUCCGUAAGCCUCUGAGUUUCCAAACUACAAGAUGAAGAUAACAUCGGAUAUACAUACCUCUAAAGAGCUAUUUAAACAUCUAUGUUGAUAACACCCAUUUCCUUGAGUCAUUGAACCUCUCACAAAGCCAGUACGUACUAAUGAAGACGCCAUACACCUACACAGAUAGCAGAAAUAUAAGUGCUAAUUUGUGAGGUAAUUCCUCUUAUUAUUGAUCUUGAAUGAUAACUAACUCUAUUUAUAAUAGAGCUGUACAACUAGGGUUAGAGUCCAAGUUCUUGUAAGAAAAGACUACUACCCUUAUUAGAAUAAUACUGACUUUCUAUGCAAAAAAGGAAAAAUAAAAUAAUCCUAAAUAGGUUGCCGUAUCUCAACACUCCCCCUCAAGCUUGAUGUAGGCAUUGUAGAGAUCAAGCUUGCCCUUGAGGUAGGCUCUGUACUUUGCCUCGACACAGCUUCUAGCAACUACAUGUUGUUUCUUGCUCUUCCAAGUGACCAAAUUUCCCCACACAUAUGUGCAGUAAGACACAACUAUUGAUUACAGAAGGCACUCACUUUCCAAAUUAAAACUUCUCAUUAUUAAAAACCCUAAUGCCCUGAAGUACACACAAUGGACACCAGAUGAAGAAAAAAAAUCCGUAGCUGACUAUUUCACGAUUUAGACCGACGGCUAAAGUCAAAAACUCCCAACCCCCAAAAACUCUUCCCUCCUACCCUCGUCGGAGAAGAAGAAAGUUUCAUCCUUUCACGCUAAAGCACCAAGAAAGACAACAAACAGAAUAAGAUUGGAUGAGAAAUUCUACAGUAAGCACAACUGACCUCGAAGACAACAACAGUGAAUCUAAGGUUAGUGGGAAAUCCACGCCAGCAACAUGGACUGAUGCAGCGGACAACCAGCUCCAUGAAAUGGCGUCGAAAGGUUCAAGAGUGGAGUUCCUCCUCUCUGAUUCCAUCAAACCGCCACCGAGGAUUCUCCGAUGGGCUCCAACCAACAGAAAAAUCGCUCGUUCUCCCGCAUUUCAGGCAAAUGAACACAAAUUUCGGAAACACAAACAAAAUAACAGAAACCCAGGAAAACUGUGACAGAGAGAGAGAGAACUCCGAAUUCCGAGCCUUGCCGGAGCAGAAGAGGCCGCAACGGGCUCUGACACAACUCGGCAGAGCUCCGGCUGGGUACUCGGGAAGAAACAAACACAGAGAAAGAAGAGAGGAGUGGAGUGGAGUGGAGUGGAGUGGAAUUCACAGAGUGAAUGCGAUUGGAACAAGAAGAAAAGCAGGGGGAGAGAGAGAGAGAGUUUGAGACCCAAAAGAAAGAGAAAUGGAAAGGGAGGAAGAUGGAUAGGUGGGUCUCUCUUUCCUUUGCCUUUGGAUUUGUUGGAUUACUUGCUUCCUUUCAAUUUCUUCACCAUUUUUCUCGUUUUUUAAAAAAAAUAUUUAUUCAUUUCAUUUAUGUGUUUAGUUUUCUGAGAGUCUCUUUGUAUUUGAUGUCUUCAUUAUUUUGUAUACAUAUGUAUUAGUAGUUAAGAAUAGUGGGUGGUGGGGUUGGUAAACAACUUCCAUUAUAUUAGCCGUUGUUGUAAGGGUUAAUUAUGUUAUAAUCAUUUUAUUUUGUUUUAGUGUGUUGUGUAGUUUUUUUUUUUUUUGUAUGAUAUACUUAUCUAUAUCUCGUAAUUUUUUUUGGUUAAAGGAUAAUUAUAGUGAACAUUAUGUAUAAUUGCAUAACCGCUUUAGUUGUUAUUUUUUGUAGUUGUAAUUCGAAAAUCGGUAUUUACUCAAAAUCUUUCUAAUUUGGGUGGGUAAAACCCGUUUAACAUGGGUAAUUGACAGGUAUGGAUAAAUUCGGUACCCGUUCAAAACGGAUAACGAACGAGGACUGGUUUAAUAGUAUCCUCCUGAUAGGUACCCGCCAUAUACAUUGUGUUGUUUAAUUAUAUAUGAAUAAAUCAAAUCUCAUUAAGAGUUCACUAAAACCCUACCCUCUCUAUCUUUCUAUUUCACGAAAAAUCAUUUUUUUAUAUCACCAAUCAUAUCUCACCUUACUUUUCACCAAAUUAUUUUCCUUUUUCAUUUGUUUUUCUUUCUUAAUACUUUUUGUUACUCAAAAUUUGCCAAUAUGAGCUAUUAUAUUUUGACCAUUUUAUAAUCUAAAAACCAAAAAAUGCUCUAUUGUGUCUAUUGGAUAGGUUUGGCAAUGGGUCAGAUAUGGGGUGGAUACCCCCUAUCCGUUACCCGUGAAUAAUGCCCACGGGUUUUACCUGUCACCGACCCAUUAAGUUUGAUGGGUAAAAGAUUGUUACCAAACUCAUGUUGGUACGGUUUUCGGGUAAACCCAUGGUUGUCGGGUAUUGCCCAAUGUUAAGUAAAAACAGUGUAAUUUCAUUAAACUCAGAAUUCAGAAACUGAAAUGUAAGAAGUACCCAACAUCUUUACCCAUAUUCCACAACUCUGGGAAAUGAACUCGGAAAGAAAAUAACAUGAACUGGUGAAGAUCCAAUCAUCCAGAAUAGAAAACUUAAAAAAAGUAAUAGGUAGUUCAUUGAACAUAAAAUAAAAUACUAAUAAACCUAGAAAUUGAAGUCUUUCCUCAUGAGUGAUUCAUCAUCAGCAACAUUUAUCACUCAUCAAAAUUCAAUAUCUACAAGAUAAACAAUGUUGCAUCAUGUAUUAGUCCGACUUUGAUCCAUAUAGGAUGCAUAACCAUUUGUGGAGGAGCAGUUAGAACACAAACCUAGGACUAGUCGUCUAGGUUUGUAACAGCUGCAACAUCAUCUACAUCCCCUUGCACUUACUAAUUCGUGCCUUCUCCUUUAAUUAUACAAAGAUACAAACAUAGAAGUAUUGUCAAUGGAGAUUAAAAGUUUUAAAAGUUUCAUUUUUUAGAUCAGAGAUUCAUAGACAAAUAGUAGAGAACUAGAGAUUUCUGUAAUUUGAAGUUACUCCUGAAAUCACUAGUCAGUCAAAAGGAUUCGAUCAACAUUACAAAAGUAGCUACAGAGUUUAAAUGCAUCUAACAACCUAACAUCAUGCAUCUAACAACGUAACAUUAGACAUCUUAAAAAUUCUCUUCACAAUCUAACUGAACUACUUAACACUAUACAUUUACAGAAUCAUAAGCAAUCAGUCAAUCACAAUUAAUAUGUAUAGCAAUCUAUGUUUACUAAUUAAGCUUACCUCAAUAGUCGAGGCACUAUCAUGUCUCCUGAGCAAUAGCACCAAUCUCACAUGAAUAACAACAUAAUAACUUGGAUUAGGGUUUCUAGAAUGAGCAAUAGCAACAAUCUUACUACUUAAGUAGUUAAGCUUACCUCAACAGACGUUACUCAAAGCUACAAAUUCCGGUCCUGCCUCCAGAGCAAGCUACAAAUUCCUGUCCUGCCUCCAGAGCAGUAGCAACGAUCUAAAAUACAUAUGAACACAAUACAUUAGAUUAGGGUUUCUAGAAUUAGGAUUUCUGAAAUUGAAGAACAAAAUAAGAAAGGAACUAGCUAACUAACUCGUACGAAGCCAAUGAAGAAAUCCGCAAAAGUAUAGAUUAGGGUUUGUUGCUUUCUUGAUUUUUCUUAAUGAACAGAAGAACUGCAGAUGAAAAACCCCUAAAAUAAGUCAGCUAUUUAUGGAUACAGAAGUAUGAAACGAUUACUAAAGGUAAGAAUCAAAAACUUGUCUCGAUCUAGGGCAGAAAUCACAUGCAUGCACGAUUCUCUGAGAAUAUGUGUCGAUUGAGGCAUUUUCGGUGAUUGAAGGAUGGAUUAGGAAUGAUUUAUGAUGAUAUUGAUCAUGAAAUUGAAGAUUUUGGAGAGAAAAAGGCUGAAAAAUGUGGCGAAAUAGUAGGGAUCAAAGAUUUCUCGUCGUUUUGGUUGAGAGAGAAGGUCAGAUUGGGAGAAAAUUUGAGAAUAACUAAAGAGGGGGGCUGAAUGCGGCGGAAAUUCGCAACUAAAACCCUAAACAAUAGUCUUUAUACCACGUCCAAACCAACGUCCUUUUGCUACCAGUUUGGGGAUGGGUCGGUUAUCUCAAUAACCAUAAUCGCCCGUCGCCCGAGUUUGGCGGGCCUCGGGUAAAACCCGACAACUAAACGGGCGGGUAAUGAAUAUACCAAACCUGUCCUCAUACUCACUCAUUUUCAUUGAAUUAAUACAUAAUUCUAGCCAAACCUAUUAAAAUUUUUACAAAUUUAUCCCAGCCUAUCCAUAUUACAAUUAUUAUGUCAAACCUUUGAUAGUUUGGUCAGUGAUAGCCAGUGAAACAAAAAUUUCGUUAAAUCAAACUUAGAAAAAUUGAUGUUGUUAAUGUGAUGAUUUGGAGAUAACAUGAGUCGGCAAAAUUGCCACAUCAAUUUACAUGUUCUUUUAAUGGAACAAGCGAGAGAAAAUAAAUCAAACUAAAACUAUUUUAUUAAAGUAAAUUAAGCCUCAACCUCAAAAAGCCUCCAUCUCGAUCACCUAUCCUUCUCCUUUCUUCUCCUCUCCAUCUCCAUCUCCAUCACAGAUCCUCUUCAUCUCUACUACAAAGGAAGGCGAGACUGGGUUUUUACUUUAUACUUAUGAGAUGGAGAAGGAAGAUGGAUUGAUAGUGAGAUUUGGCUGAGAAUUCGAUGAGUUUGGAUUAGGACUAGGUCUUGUAGUAGAGGAACAUAGAUUACGGUCUCCAUCAUCCAUAAGAUCUCAAAAGAUAGCAGGAGAGAAGUUAUGGCCUGUAUUAUUUACUCCAGCCGAUGGGGCGGUGGGGUUCGGGAGGCAGAUCCUGAUAUCGAUUGCUAUAUCUACAAUGUUUAGGGUCUCGAUGACGCUUUCUGUGGUGUUUGGAGGAUUCACCGGCUUUUGUGAGAUCCCCGGGUCAUAGGUAUCAGAUUAGGGAUAGCCUUCCUUCGUCGAGCAGAGUACUUGAUUGGCGAUUGAAAAACCUUGGUCACUCCACUUUUCUAGUAAUAAAGUCCAACAUUAGUCUUUCUCCUCCUGAAUCCUAAUAUUUGACGAGAUAUUUGAAUUAACACACAACAUAGAGUCUAAUGAGGUUAAUGCAUGUUGGCGGUCGAUCCUGUUUAGUGGUGUGUAAAGACGCGAUGUAGAUUAACCAACAUGUGAUUAGGUGCAUCUCUCGAUAUAACUCUCUGAGUUGCAACUCCUUAGGGAAUUGAUCAUAUUGUGUUAGUGUUUAUUGAGCGAUGAUGAAAUGAAAGCACGUAUACGAUUUGUUUGUAAAAAAACACUAAUAUAUCUAAUUAAGUAUAUAAUGCAAAGUAUGUCGAGUUUGGAUAAUAUAGAGUCUCGUGUGUCAUUGAAUUCACUGAGUUUGGAGGUAAAGAAGUUGAGAUGUAAUGACACUUCCAAAGUAUCAUGCCCAACAGUAUGUUUGAAACUAUUGGAAGAAGUAGACGAGCAGACUACACCGAUUUUGUAUGAAUCGAUGUAUCUCCAAGCAAAUUGUCGUCCGUCAUUUGUAGAGAACAUCGAAUCUCCAAAUACUCAAGAAUUAAAGGAUUGGUAACGAAUUGAUAAACCUGUUGUAGCCGUGACAAAAGAACUAACAACAUCCUGAAGCACCAAAACCGGCAACACCAUAACUCAAGUUAGACCCCAUGGACCCAUGAACUGCUGCAUUGACAUGAAUACUUCAAGCUGUAAUGAAGGUAACUGGACAUAAUGUUGAUGACUGGGAUAAGGAGUUACAAGCGCAGGCACCAAAAAUGGAGCAUGAAGAGCUUCAAUGAAUUAUGACGAGAAUUGCGAACUAGAGAAGUGACGGAUUAUUGCUUCUGUUCGAAGAUCAGUAUAUUAUAUGACCUUCCAUAAUUACCAUCAGAAGAUAGUAAGUUUCAUGUAAUUGACCAAACUCAAAAGACAACACGACCUCCAUAAGUUUACUAAGUGACCGGAAAUACUAGCAAAAAUAUCACAGCUACAUGCUUCUGCAUAGACCUGGCAAUUCGGGUGAGUCGGGUUAAUUUGGGCGGGUCGCAUCAGGUUACAGGUCACCGUUCGGAGCCUCAUUCAACAGCUUUCAGGGGCCUUAUUAGAGAUGAAAAUGGUCAAUGGAUUGUUGAUUAUCAUAACAGAAGUGGUACCCAAGAUUUUUUACAGGUCGAGUUGCUCGCAAUUCGUGAUGGCAUAUCUCUGCUCCAAAUGCUCAAUUACAAAACAGCGAUUGUAGAGUCAGAUUCUCUUCAUGGAGGUUGGCUAGUAACCUGCGAAGACAUCUCUAUCCACCCUCUCUUCUCGAUUAUUAUGGAUAUUAGAAGUGGCCUAAAACAAGGGGAGAAUUUUAAGCUGCAACAUGUGUUUUGCAAAGCAAAAAAAGCAGCUGACAUGCUAGCGAAGAUGGGUCACACCCAAGAGAAAAUAGGAGAACAUCUGCAGCCUUUUGUUGGGGCGCAGCGGACGAGAAUAGAGUAAAUUACACUAAUAAACCACAUACCAUAAAUAUUUUUCAGAAAGGUUGGAAGUGGUGGUAGUCCACCACACUUAAAAUCACUAUGGAUGGGUGAUUACCACCGCAAUACCAUAAUGACGAUAAUUAAGCCAACCUCCUUAGACCAAUUUACUGUGGUAAUAUUAAUAAUGCAAUAUACAACGAAUAUUCUCGAAAUUGCAAGGCACAAAACGGUAAGUAAAUAACACUGAGAUUUACGUAGUUCCCCUCAAAUGCGGAGAGUACAUCUACGGCAGCAGCGACAGCUACGAGCACUUCUUCACUAUAACAAGGUAGCUACAAGGUGAUCCGAGCCGAUCCAAAAUAGUGUCUCUCAAGUGUUUCCCAACCUCGAAACAACUGCUCACUAUUUUUAUCGCUCACAUCCUAUCAAGUAAAACAUUUAUCGAGACUUUCUACUGCUCACCUAUCUACCCAAUUGAGAUAACUUAUCUCAAUUAUUAAACAAGUGAAAAUUGCUACAUACAACACUACUAAAAAGAAACGAGUACAGAGAAGUGAGAAAGGAAGAAGAGAGGAAUGAUUGAAAUGGGAUGCAGUAGCUUCCCUUUUAUACUGGAAAUAUGGAGAGACCAAUUGAAAGCAAUUGGUUGUGUCAUCCAAUUAGUUGAAUCCCCAACUAAUUUCCCGAUGCACUAAAUUGAAGGUGGUGGUUUUUUUAUUAUUUUAUUUUAUUAAUUUUUUCGGGACCAACACCUUUUUCUCCAGCUGAGCUCGAUAUGGUGAUAUCCUCUUGAGGGUGAAAUUAUUGAAGAUGCGGGAGCCUAACGACUGACCCGGUUUCCAUUUUUGUUUUCCCUAUUCUUUUGAGUUUUCCAUUCUACCAAAAAAAAUACAAACUAACGCCCCUCAUACGCAACCAAUUACGUCACUUCACAUGGACCAUAAAAUCAGAUAACCCGAACAUUUGCAGGUCGUUUAAAUGAGUUAUUUUGCAAAUGAGGUAUUUGAAAACAAAAUGAUACAUAUUAGGAAAUAUGGUAUUCUUGAGGUGCAAAACAUUUGAGGUGUAAGAAUUACCUUGUGUUUGCUUGUUUUGUGUUUGUUUUGCUAACACAAAACAAGGUGUAUGUGUUUUAAAUUGAGGGUUUAGAGUUGAAUUAUUUCAAACAUCACCUUCAUAAAUAAAUUUUUGAAAUAACUCGAUUCGAUGUAUUUCAAAUAUUACUGUUUGAAAUACCAUGAUUUUUAUUUUAAAUGACAAACAAGUUGAGUUAUUUGGGCCAAAAUAUAUCAUUCAAAUAUUUCGAUGAAACGAUCCGUAAAUAUGCACGUAGGUUAGGAUUAAAUAUCAUCAUCCUAGCAGGCAAUUCAAGUAUAAAAAUUUCCAUUAAUUGAGUAAAGUUUGAUGUGUUGCAAGUAUAUUGUCAAGUGUUGGGGGCUACAAUGUUUUUCUCCACCGGACUAAAAAUUUCCAAAACUUCCGUACCUAAAAAUUAAAUAANNNNNNNNNNNNNNNNNNNNNNNNNNNNNNNNNNNNNNNNNNNNNNNNNNNNNNNNNNNNNNNNNNNNNNNNNNNNNNNNNNNNNNNNNNNNNNNNNNNNNNNNNNNNNNNNNNNNNNNNNNNNNNNNNNNNNNNNNNNNNNNNNNNNNNNNNNNNNNNNNNNNNNNNNNNNNNNNNNNNNNNNNNNNCAAAACAUUUGAGGUGUAAGAAUUGCCUUGUGUUUGCUUGUUUUGUGUUUGUUUUGCUAACACAAAACAAGGUGUAUGUGUUUUAAAUUGAGGGUUUAGAGUUGAAUUAUUUCAAACAUCACCUUCAUAAAUAAAUUUUUGAAAUAACUCGAUUCGAUGUAUUUCAAAUAUUACUGUUUGAAAUACCAUGAUUUUUAUUUUAAAUGACAAACAAGUUGAGUUAUUUGGGCCAAAAUAUAUCAUUCAAAUAUUUCGAUGAAACGAUCCGUAAAUAUGCACGUAGGUUAGGAUUAAAUAUCAUCAUCCUAGCAGGCAAUUAAAGUAUAAAAAUUUCCAUUAAUUGAGUAAAGUUUGAUGUGUUGCAAGUAUAUUGUCAAGUGUUGGGGGCUACAAUGUUUUUCUCCACCGGACUAAAAAUUUCCAAAACUUCCGUACCUAAAAAUUAAAUAAAACCUAACAAUUAAAUAAAAAUAUAUAUUUUAUUGUUUACCAUUCUAUCGUGUUUGUUGCGAAGGCUUCUCAAUUCUACAAUUUCACGAUAGCAAGUAUCAAACAUGGGACCAAAAUGUGGGAGGAAAUUGAUAUCUAAGCAAGAUGACAGAGUUGAAGUAGGACAUCAAUAUACAGUAUGUUUCAGUAGCCAGAGAGAGUAGCUAGGUUUCAGUACUAGUUGUUGCCCGAAACAAGUAGAAGAACCGAACCAACCGAACUGGGUUCAGCACGCAGCAUGUGGGAAAUCUGAAGUUGCCUUCCUCUGUACAUUAUUAACAGACCUUUUGGACCUAACUUCACUCUGUUAAAAGCCUACGAUGUUGGAUUUGUGUAUGCAAAUGGAGGCACAUAUUAUUUUCAACAAAAUGAAAAUAUCCACUUAUUCUCUGCUUUCAGGUAGCUCGAUCAGCCAUGUGCUGCAUUCUGGGAUCCCUUUAUAUCCACUCAAUUGAAUAUGUGAAUAUACAACCACACAUAUUGGUUACAAAUUCAGUUCAAAACCACCGUCCACAUUAGUCUUCUCAUAUGAAAACACCUCCAGCUACCGUUAGAUUGUUUAAUAUGAUCUGAUGGUUCAUAAUAAAAGGAUAAAAUUGUAAAUCAGUACCUACAUUAGUUUCCCGGAGAAAAGGUUUCAUUUAAUUCCCGUAUUUACACCGCGCUCGGCUACUCAAGAAGGGGAAUCGUACAAACCUUGUUCUUUCAUUUUAUCAAACCAUGAUCGACCGAAACUUGUGAUUCAACAACAAUAAUUCUUCUUCCUUUCUUUAAUCUCCCAACAACAGCAACAUUAAUUGAUUCACCAAUAUAAAAUAUCUGAGCCCGCCCCGGAGUCUUGUAGGAAAUUUCCGGCUGUAAUGACUUUUGUUGUAAAAAUUUAUAACUUGUCACCCUAAUUUUAAGUAGUGGCCAUCCAUAGGAGGAAGUGAUUAGUAAGUAGUCCUGCUAUCACUUAUAAUAUUAUUAGUAGCCAGACAUAUCUUGUACUCAGUGUAAUGGGUUUAUUUGGUGAAAUGAAAAAGUUGGUUGACAAAACAAAAACCUAACAAAUGCCCAAUUGAUGAAAACAUGCACGUACCUGAAAUAAAUUACUGUUACUAUUUUCAGAUUAAAAAAAGAUGGUUGCUAUUUACUCGGUCUUCAUGACACACAAGAGUUUGAAAAAAGGAAAUGGUUACUAUUUAGUGAAAGUCAGCCGCUUUUUAGUUUGCCGUCGGUAUUAAUUUCACUGAGGUGAUUGAAUUUGCCCCUAAAAAAUGCCCUGUUUUCCGUCUUAAUUUGCAUACUAAUGAUGUGUUUAGUAAAAAAAGAAAAAGACUAAUGUACCCCAAUAUACUAAUCAUUAUUUACAAAAAGGCCGCACUUCCUCGUACACCAAAUGCAUUGGUACGUAGAUCCCAUUCAUAACCAAAAAAGGCGGUUCACAUGUUCUCCACCCUCAAAAAGCAACCCCGAUCACUAUUAGUUACCAUUAUCAUUACUCCUAACUACCCAUAUUUCUCGCCAUCCGUUUCGAACUAACUAUCGACUUUUAGUUCGAGUCCAACAAAAAAAAAGAUGCAGAGUAUAUAAAGUUUACCAUCACAAUCUAUUCUACGAACAAGCAAUGCGAUCCCACUCUUCUCGUUUCAGCCCUUUAGAAGGAUGUGAAGAGAAGUUAUUAUUGUUGAAGACCGUGCAGAGAUGCUCAUAUUUCUCUAGAUCAAAACCAUGAAGCUUCAUCAGCUUCUUCUUCUUGACAUGAAAUCUGUGGCCAAAGUAGCCUUCAAAUGUAGGUUCAGUGGAGGUCCUGAGAAAGAAAGUGUAGGCCAUCCCGAAAUAGAGAGAGGUGGUGAAAAAGCAAAUAGGCUCCAUCACAUCCCAACUCAGUUCCCAGAACGUCAGUCUCAUAAAACCCAGCGUCUGAGCCGUUAAAAAGCCCAGCCCGCAGUAGAGCUCAGCUCGAACUUGGGCUCGUGCCUUUUCGUCGAUUUGGGACUUUUCCUUGUGCAUCUCUUCUAGUGUUCUCUUCCUUGGAUCGUUUGUGCGUGCUAUUAUUGACUCUGAGAUUAUGCCUUCCAUCGAUUCCGCAACCUGUUCGAACCCAAAUAAGAAUCAUAUUAGCAUAAUCAGUAACACUGAUUGGAAAGGCUUGGUUGUUUUUUUGACUAGGGUUAGACUGAUGUAGAGAUUACCUAAAUGUUUUUUUUUAGUGAGAGAUAACAUAGUUGAAAUAAUGUGUCUUGUCAUCCGAUUAGGAGUCCGAUUAUGGGUUUAGGGAUAUUGCUUUUUGGAUUUGAUUCAGGAGUAAUCUAAACCUUUGGAUUUUUAUAUUAUUUAAGGGUCAAGAUUGAUCAAGGAUAAUGUGAUUAUGUUGUUUGAAAUAUAUUUGUUGGACCAGAUUACAACAAGCUUCGAUCGUCGGACCACCGUCUCUCGUGAAUGGACCACCAUCCCCGCUAACCAGAAAGUUUCCUAGUCAAUUUCCCGACAAUUCUGACGUGCGUAGAUGAAGUAUUUUUCACCCACAUGAUCACCGUCAUCGGCUCUAAGUUUCUGGAAAAUAACAAAUCUUUUCUGGAAAUAUUGUUUGACUACCGGUCGUACAACUUUGUAUGGAUCAUACAAAUAUGUGCAUAGACUUGUACAAACUCGUACAUGAAUGUAUACACAUUUGUAUGAAUUUUAUAUAAAGUUUAAUGCUAAGUACUAUAUUAAAUAUGAUACUUAAUACAACACUUAAUAUAUAUACAUUUAUAUGGGUGUGAAAUGUCCUUGAUUUUUAACCAUUAGAUCUAACAAAUAAAAUUUAAAUGAUUGAGAUUUGUACAGUCUUUUUAAAUCAGAUGUACAAGCAUUUCUCUGAUUCCAUAUUCAAACUAAUUAGAGAGAAAACCGUUCUCUUGUUAAAAACAUUUUUUAAGAAAUUAACAAACUUUAUACCUGCUCUGGCCGGAGAAAGACGAUGUUCCCUAAAACAAUGACGUUUCCAGACUCGUCGAGCUUUCUGGCGAAAUUGGCGCCUUGAUCCUCAUUUCCGCAUUCCUGAACGCAGAUCUGAGCAAAUUCCGACAGCGGGAUCGAGCUCGUCGGGAUCGAGUUCAGCCUCGCUUUCAAUUUCUCCAUCUGAGCCAGCCUUAAGAUCUUCCUCGUUUCCUCAACAGACAUACCGCGUCGGCCGAUCGCCGGAGCCGACGACGAUGAAGUAGGAGGAGGUGGAUUAAGUCCAGUCCACUGUAGUCGGUCAUCGGCUACGUUGACGAGCCGGAGUUUCUCCCGGAGUUUAUCGCCGACAGGCAAAGAGAGGAACUCCGGCAAAUGGUUCCUCAGCGCCGUACGAUGGAUAAAACGGUUCCAAUUGAGUCCGCUGUUGGCGACUUCCUGGAGCUCCUGAUGUAGGUUCGAUCUUGCGGAGUUUGGGCUCACCGAGUAUUUGACGGCCGGCGAAGGCGCAAAGUGACCGACGGCGUGGAGACGCUUGGAGAAUAAUUUCCGAAGUGCCAUUGCUAUUAAAUUGAAAUUUGGAGAGUGAAAGGAAUCUCCGGCGAAGAUGCUGGAAGUUUUGUAAGUGUUUCCUGAUUUUGAUGAGCGAAAGGCGAAGAGUAUUUAUAUAUACUGAUCAUAAGCUCCGGAAAGAGAAUCAGAAUCUUUUUUUUUGUGUGAAGUGAAUCAGAAUCUUACACAAUCGUUAAGUUAAUUAUUAUUGUGUUCACAAUUUAGUAUUACCAAAUUAGCAACUUCAACAAUAACUCAUAUAAUAAUUUUUACCCACCUCUAUUUCUGAAUUUUAAACAAUUAACAAAAAACUGAAAAUCAAACGAUACAAAAGAUGAAUAUUAUUUAUUUACUAUUAAAAAUGCAUUUCUCUAAAGAUGAGCUCAUAAGCAUUUGUGAUAUUAUCAAUUUACUUUUUAAAUUAAUAAUUUUAUUAAUUUAAAAAGCAUUUAUAAAAUUAUAUAUUUUUAAUAAUUGCUAAUAAAAUGUUAGCUCACAGUCCACCUCAUUUUAAUAAUUACUAAAAUUUGAGGCAAAAAAUACUUUUAAUCUUAAACAUAUUUAUGUCAGCUGAUUUUGUUAAACUCUUGCAAAGUUCAAUUAAAUUCAACCAUUCAUUUAAACAAAUGACAUUUUUAUCUUUUCACAUUUUUCAUUUACUUUUUAAGUUUUUGAUCAUCAGCCACUUUAGUAUGAGACUCUGCACCUUUUUAUUCCUGAUGAGUCUUCAGCGAUCGGCAAUGAAUUUUCGAUGUCUUUUCCGGUGAGUCAUCAACAAAAUUUCAUGCGAGUCUUCGAUGUAGUUCUUACCAGAACUCCUCACGAUAUCAACCUUUACUUGAAAAAGAACUUAGGUGAAGCCAUUAAUCAAGAAGAAUAUGCUACAGUGAGAUGGGGAGUUAAUGUUUCUUAUGAACUAUACCACAUCAUAUUUAGAGGCACUUUUAAGAGAAGAUGAUAAAAAUCAUUUCUAAUCUAGAUGAUUAAUUCUAAUCAUUGAUUUCUAAUUUUUUCAGAUGAAUAGAUAAUUAUUUAUUGCGUAUUUUUUUAUAUUUAUCUUUUUAACUUCCUUUUUUAUGGGUUUUUAUCUACAAUUUUCUUCCUUCUUUUUCCCUCGGCUGGUUCUCAAAUCGUUGAUGAUAAGGGUUUAUUUUUUAAUUAAAUUUCAUGGUGGUUAGGUCAAAUUUUGAUUUGUCUUCUUUUAGAAUCAUGAGUAGCUAAUUCUUUAGAGUUUCUUGGUUGAGAUGUAGAAUUUGAGCUAUGAUACUCUCCCUAAAAGCACAGGGUCAACGAUUAUUGGAUAUUUGGAUUCAAAUGAAAAAUUGUUUUGAUUGUUGGUUUUUCAACCUUGUUCUUGUUCCGACUUGAAUUAGGUAAAAUCUAUGAAAUCCUUAUUUGAUCGAUUAUGGAAUUCAUAUGAUUAACAAUCUAAGAUAGAUGAAAGUUAUCGGUGGGGUAAGCCAAUAGCUCGAUUCUACCAUUCGUGUUUCUUUUAGUUCUAAAGGUUGUUCAUCUUGUAAUUGGCGGACGCUCUGAUUUGCACCUAAUGGACCAAGUUGGCUGUAGUUAUCAGUAGUUUAGGUAUUGAUGGACCAAUUUAAUACAAAUUCCGAUUACUCGUGAUUUCAUUUAAUUUUGAAAGAGCACCUUAUCACUUUGUAGAACUUAUCGAUGUUCAUUACCAGUUAGCCUAGUUGAGAUUAUUCUAACCUUGGUUGGGAAACUAGUAGUGGUAAUCCGCGUGCAUGAUCGUGUCACGGAUUCAUACGAGCGAUAAAAGAAAUCGUAUUAUUUAAUCCAAGUCCUACAUUUGUUCGAUCCAACGUUUGUUUUCUCCCCUUGAUCAAACCUUAAUUGUCUAUUUUAAUUGAGUUAUUAGAAUAAUUAGAAACCAAAAUCAUUUCAUUCAGUCUAUACCAUGUUGACGAGUUUGAGUAGAAGCAUAAUUAGAAGAAUCCUUGGACACAUACCACACUUGUGUUGUCGAGAUAACUUCGUAAUUAUUUUGACGAUCAGUCUACUGCAUCAAAUAUAAUUAUGAUGACACAUUUGGACGGUACAAGGUACGAUUGUUGGUUGCCAAAGGUUUCACAUAGAUAUAUGGGGUUGAACUCUUGGACACUUUUUUCUAUUUGCCAAGCUCAACUCUGUCAAAUUCCUCCUAGUUACAGCAGCUGCUAAGGGCUGGCAGCUUCUGCAAAUGGAUGUCUCCGAUGCCUUUUUUCCAUGAUGAUUUUGAGGCAAAGGUAUAUAUGUGAGCUCCUCCUGACCUUGAUAUUCCUACUGGUUAUUGUAACAAGUUAUAGAAGUCGUUUAUGGACUUAAGCAACUCAACAUGCAAUGGUUUGCCAAACUUGUUUCAACCUUGCUUCUUCAUGGCUUCAGAAAAUCCAAUUCUGAAUAUUCCCUUUUCAUUAAAGGAGAAAAUGACGUCAUGGUUACUCUCCUCGUAUAUGUGGAUGACAUCAUCCUUAUAUGAAGCAACCUUGAUGCAAUUGAUGUUGUCAAAGCCUAUCUAUAGUCUCACUUCAAAAUCAAGACUUACGACAGUUGAAGUAUGUCCUUGGCCUCGAAAUUGCAAGGUCUCAAACUGGCAUUUCCAACCAAUGCAAGUAUUGCAUUGAGUUUCUCACUUACACUGGUUCUCUUGGAAGUCAAGGGUUAUAAGUCUCCCAUGGACACAAUCCAUCAUUUGACAUCUUUACAAGGAACCAAGUUGGAAGAUCCUACCAGCUACAUGCAACUAAUUAAUUGGUAGGUUAUACUAUCUUACCAUCACUAGACCAAACAUCUCAUUUGCCGUUAAACAACUAAUUCAGUUCCAAUUAGAGCCAUAUAGUGAUCAUAUUCAAGCAACACAUUAUAUCCUGAAAUACCUUAAACUUGCUCCUAAGGGUUGUUCUACAAAGUUGGUGCCGAGUUGUUGUACCUUUCUUGGUACCAACCUUGUCUCAUAGAAAUCAAUGAAGCAAUCCACUGUUUCCAAAUCCUCAUUAGAAGUGGAAUAUAGAGCUCUGACACAUUUUGUUUGUGUGGCACAAUGGCUAUUCAUUUUACUAUCAGAAUUAGGAAUACCAGUCUUUACACAUAUUGACAUAUACAGUGAUAACAAAUCUGCCAUACACAUUUCUGAGAACUCCAUGUUUCAUGAACUUACAUUAUAGGGUGCCAUGUGACAAGGAAAACCAUUAAAUAAGGCCUCAUCAAGCUUCAUCAUAUUUUAACAGAGCUACAAGUGGCUAACAUUUUCACCAAAGCUCUACACCGACUUUGUGUCCACCUCUUAUUGAGCAAGUUGGAAAUUCUGGACAUCCACUCGCCAACUUGUGGGAGAAUAACAACUGAGAAGCUAGAAGAGACUCACACUAAAUCUAAUGAGAAGGAUGAGUGAUCGCCCGAAUAACUGUGAAGUUAUUCCGACAACAUAAGUGUCGUUUGUGUCCGAAGGUUCCUCUCAUUAUGCCUCUACUCGAAUUCGUCAACACGGUUUAGACUAAAAUAAUUGGUUUUAAUUUCUAAUGAUUCUAAAGUUAACUAAAACUAUCAAUUUAAAGGUUGAUUCAAAUGGAGAAAUUGAGUUCUUGGAAGAGAAGAGUCAUUAAGCUCAACCAAAUGAGUUCUUGGAAGAGAAUAGUCAUUAAGCUUAACUGCCUAAAUGCAUUCAAAACGAGCGAAUGUGGACUUGAAUUAAAUAAAACGAAUCCUCCUAUCACUCGUAUGUGCUACCACUACUAGCUUCCCAACUAAGGCAGAAAUCCUCUUAAUCAGGCUAGCUGGUAACGAACACCGAGAAGUUCUACAAAUUGAUAGGGAGUUCUACCGGAACUAAAAGAAAUCAGAAGAAACACAAAAGGUAGAAUUAGGUUAUCGGUUUACCCCACCGAUAACUUAAUCCUAUCCUUGAUUGUCAAUCUAACUAAUUCCUAAGUCUUUCACGAACAAAGGAUUUCAUGAAUUUGACCUAAUUCUAGCCAUGACAAGAAUUAGGUUGAACACCAAACAAUCAAGACAAACUUUCAUUGCAAUUCAAUCAUCCACAAACGUCGAUCUUACACAUUCAAGAUAGGUUUCAUAGCUUAAUUCCUACAUCUCAACCAAGAAUCCCUAAGGAUUUUAGCUACUCAUAAUUCUAGAAGAAAGCAAUUGAAAAGAAACCCUAACCAUCAUCUUGCAAAGAAAUAUCGGCUUGUUCUUCUUCCAAUCAAUGCUUUUGGUCUUCUAUCUUCAAUCCUAUCUUCAAUCCUUGAGGGAAACUCUUUUGGAUCUUCAAUUUAGCUUCUAAUGGAGGUUUGGUGCUGGGUUUUGCAGAAGGAACUCGGGAAAAAUCAUGGAAAAAGAAGUUGGGGAAGUUGUUCUUCUCUUUCCUCAAAACUUCCCCUUUAUAGUAGCAUCCAGAUUUGGAGGGUGCACGCCGUGCACCUUCCUAUAUUGUCCGUUCCGCGUACCACAAACCAGGGAACGUUGUGCAGGGGUGCACGCCGUGCAUCUUCCGUUCUUCAAGAUCCCGCGUUGCAAAAAGGGGGAAACGCGGUACAGGGGUGCACGUCGUGCCCUUGUUUUGAGGCCGAGCUCUUGAGUUCUUUCAUGGACUGCACAGCGUGUGUACCUGCACUGUGUGUAGUCCCUCUGCUGUGCCAUUUUCUUUCUCGACUUCCCAUUCGAACUCCAAUCGCUCUCCACACCACGUCCUUGGUUUCAUAGUCAGAUCACUUAUCUCCAUAGUACCUGUAGGUGACAAAUACUACAAAGAAAACAUCAAAUGGACCGAAACAGUCCAAAUGAACGGAUCUAUACACAUGAUGCCAAAACACGAAAUCGUAGAGAACUGAAGUGCGAACAUACUAAUAACCACUCAAAUGCAUGUAUAAAAAGGGUAGAUAACUGCUACAAAUUCUAGCCCUAUCAAUGAGGAAGAGUUAGACCUAAAGAGAUGAGUGACCUGAGUGCAACGGGAAAGAAGAUAAAGGACUAAAGGGAACAUGUUUGUUUGAAGUUCAUUUAAUGUUGGUACGUCGUUUUAUCUUGUUUGUUUUAGUCCUCUUGAUCACUGGCAUAUAUUUCAGAGUUUGAACUGCUACAUUCCUUUUUGAAUUAAUACCUUCAGUUGUGAUUUCUCUUGGAGGGAUUGCAAAUAUUCAGGAAGAGAACACUUCAAGGACAGUGGCUCUGAGCCACUGUUCACAGUUUAUUCAAAGAUUCUAACGUUUAAUUUUGAUUGUUUUGCUGCUUUUUUAAUUAGUUAGGAAAAAUUCACCAAAUAGGCGCAACUUAUUCGGAAAAUACACGAUUUAGCACAUGUUUUUGAAAAUACAUUCUAUGGCACCGAUUUCAAAUAUAACAAGUCAGCCAUCGAUUUCGGAAAUGCCUUUGUGGCUAAGGAUCGUUGGUAAAAUAUUGCUAUGAAUGAAUAGCCACCGCUCGAGUGAAAUGAUGCAUAUGGUUCAAAAUACUGUAGCGUGGGAUCUUUGUCACCCAGAAUAUUUUCACUGCGAUUGGGAAUAAUAAUCCCAACAUCAACAUGCUAGGGGCAGAUAGGGGAAUGCAAUCUCAAGUUCCAAGUUAGGCAUCUUUGCAUUCUUUUUAGAUUCCAUUUUCAGGAAUCUUUACUAACAUUCUUUUGGAGACGUUAGUGGGAAGUCUAGUACAUCCAUUUUCCCACGUGGUUCCAACAAUUGUGGAGGAAUUAGAAAUUACAAUUUCACAUAACUAAAUAUGUUAUUAUAUUUGAUUGGGAGAAACCCAAGUGCUUUUGUAAGGCAUGCCCAUCUAGACAGCAUAUCCUCCAAAUUAACCCUGUUAUUUUUUGUGAGCAAAAUUGAAAAUCCAAAGAAUGAGUUACGUCUCUGUACUGUUUGGUUGAAUCAUUUUUAGCGUCGAUCAGCCAAUCAAAUUAGAAGCAGACCCUGAGAGCAAACACAGCCGCACAAACACCGGCCGCGAGUGACGGAGAACCACUGAUUGAUAAUAGUGAAACACAUUAAUAAUAUAUCUGAGGUUUUUUAGUAAACUGAUAUAUGAUAGAAAAAAGUAGAGGUUUCCCCGCAAGCGCCCACUCAAAACACAAUAAUGCUUAGGUGUAAGGGUUUCACACAGAUAUAUUAGACACCCCACUAACUAUUUAUCAAAAUCGGAUUGGUUAGACCAGGAUUUAGGAUUUGAUUGGGUUUGAUCGUUUCCUAAACCGGCUCGGACCGUAAUAAAUAAAUAAAUAUGGUUAACCUGGACCAUAAUUUUUGAUUGAGUUAGAUCAAAUCGAUAGUAUAGAGAGUUCAAUAUCAUAAUCUAGCUAGUCAAAAAUAUAAUUAUUGAAUAAUUUUUUAUGAAGUUUCAAAUUACAUAAAUGAUUUGUAACUUUUUAUUAAUCUAAUAAUUGAGAUUUAUGUACAAUUUACUUAAUUUACGGUAAGAUACUACUUUUUUUAGUUUUAAUUAGAUGUCAUAAUGUUUAUUAUUAUUAAUUAGAUUCAUGUUUCAAUCAAAUUAUGAUAUUAGAAGAGUUGGUAAUCACUCAUCCUCUCGACUAGAGUUCAAAUUCCACACUCCCAUAUUUUUUGAGAAAAAAUGUGUAGGUAUAAAAAUCUGGUCCAAUAGGCCAAAUAAUUUCGGUUGAACUGGCUGAAUUUCACGAUCAAACCGAGUUAACACCUGACUUUGAACAAUCUCACAAACUAUCAAAUAUAGUAUCAGGCGAGGUGCCGGCUCACGGUCGGACCAAUCGAACCUCCCAGUGCAGUUUGGUUUUCAAAACAAUUCUAUUUACAAACAUUUAUAGUUGUAGCAUUCAAUAAUAUUAAGACCAUCCUCAUUCAUGUGAAUGGGGAAUUAUAAAGUGAGCUUGGCAAUGGGAGGUUCAUGGAUGGUUAUAUCAUACCCAUUACCCAUCCGUUUGUGUGACGGUUAUUAACCAUACUCAUCCCCGUUUCUAUUUUGGUGACAGAAUUAGUUCCAUCACUAUACCCACACGGUUAACGGUUUGACCACUCCAAACGGUUAUAACCGCUCCUCGUUGAGGAAAAAAUACAAAAUGAGAACCAAAACUCAAAACGAAAAUCAAAAUGCAUCCACUUGAAUUGAUUUAGAAAAGCGGUGGAUGAGAUAUUUUAAAUAAAAAAUAGUGGUUGAGUUUUGUAAAAGGCGUGGAAACAAAGAGGUAUCAUCGACGUCGAAGACGGCAUAUAUGAUAUUUUCGAAGAAGGAAUGAUUAUUGAUUAGGUUUAGUUUUUUGGAUAGAUUCAUAUACAUUUGAGUUAGGUAGUGGGCUUAUUGGGUCCAUAUACUGACGGGUAAAUGUUGGUUAUAUAGCGGGGUGUGGAUGGUUAUGGGUAUAUUUAUAGUGACUGUGCGGUUAUUAUAAAACUCAUAACCUAACCCUAUAGAUUCUAGUGGUUAACAGUUAUUACCGUACCAAAUCAAAAUACACAGUCAACACGGUUAAUAACCGUCAAAAUUCGGUGAGGUUAUGGUCAGUUAAGCGAUUAAACAAUCGGGAUUGCCAAGUCUAAAUGGGAAAAUGACUUUUUAUUACAAAUUUGCAUAGUAUGUAAUUGUCAAAAGUAAUUGUAAAAUGGUCAAUGUUAUAUUUUAUUAGUUAUGUUAUAUUUAAAUGGUCAAUGUAAUUAAUUAAUAGUAAAUUUUUUGGCGUACUUAGUAUAUUAAAAUAUUUUAGUGUGCCCAAUUUUUAGUAAGUAAUGUGUUCAUUAUAAAUGUCUAUUUUAUGCGAUGGAUCUAAACGAUUGGAAGUAAAUUUAAUUUUAGAAUAUAAUUCAUGGUUUUCAUCUUUAUUUUAACUUACAAACACGUCACUAAAAUUACGGACCAUUGUGAUCAAGAAUGUCCUACAAAAGCUGUAGUCCUCACAAAUCGGUUUUAAAUUGUCCGACUAUCACCCAAGCAAAUAUUAUGCUAUGAAAGUCUGUGCACUCACAUUUGCACAUCCAUAUAUUCUUGUCAAAAUUUUUUAGUACGAUUAAAUUAAAAUAACAGUUAAAUCUAAAUCUANNNNNNNNNNNNNNNNNNNNNNNNNNNNNNNNNNNNNNNNNNNNNNNNNNNNNNNNNNNNNNNNNNNNNNNNNNNNNNNNNNNNNNNNNNNNNNNNNNNNNNNNNNNNNNNNNNNNNNNNNNNNNNNNNNNNNNNNNNNNNNNNNNNNNNNNNNNNNNNNNNNNNNNNNNNNNNNNNNNNNNNNNNNNNNNNNNNNNNNNNNNNNNNNNNNNNNNNNNNNNNNNNNNNNNNNNNNNNNNNNNNNNNNNNNNNNNNNNNNNNNNNNNNNNNNNNNNNNNNNNNNNNNNNNNNNNNNNNNNNNNNNNNNNNNNNNNNNNNNNNNNNNNNNNNNNNNNNNNNNNNNNNNNNNNNNNNNNNNNNNNNNNNNNNNNNNNNNNNNNNNNNNNNNNNNNNNNNNNNNNNNNNNNNNNNNNNNNNNNNNNNNNNNNNNNNNNNNNNNNNNNNNNNNNNNNNNNNNNNNNNNNNNNNNNNNNNNNNNNNNNNNNNNNNNNNNNNNNNNNNNNNNNNNNNNNNNNNNNNNNNNNNNNNNNNNNNNNNNNNNNNNNNNNNNNNNNNNNNNNNNNNNNNNNNNNNNNNNNNNNNNNNNNNNNNNNNNNNNNNNNNNNNNNNNNNNNNNNNNNNNNNNNNNNGAGAUUUUUGUUUAGUGUUUAGGGUUUAGGACAUAGUGAUGAUAAGUGUUUAUAGUCUAAUUAAGGGUUUUAUGAUCGGUUAAUUUACAUAAUAAUUAAAAUUAUUUAUAUUAGUAUUAAAAAAUAAUGAAGAUGAUAUUAUUAUAUUGUACAUGGAUCUCAUAUUUGCAAUUAUUUUAUAGUAAUAUGAUAAUGGAGAGUAGGAAAUGGGGAAAAGAUGAUGAAAUCAUGGAGGGAGUUACUUGAGAAAAAGGGGUUGGUUGCAUGGAGUUAGAGAAUCAAUGGUAGAGAUGUGUUUUCUUGUUCAUAACAUUAUUGUUUUUCCCACUUGGUGGAUAAGUUUUAUGAUUCUUCGUCCAUCAAGUCCCCAUAUUGUGUGUAUUUGUGAUUUGGCUCCUUUUUCUGUUAUUACGGGUUUGCAGGGCUACUCUACGUAUAUCACACUUCAAUUGUGUUAUAGGAUUGACUCGUUGACGGCACGAUCCUACUGCUGCAGGGCUACGACCACCUCAGCUUCCGUUUCAGACUGCUUGCUCGUUAGAACAUGGAGCCGCCGAUUUUGGGGUAUUCGUAGCUCUUAGAAUUGUAUCAAUAAAAGGUGUUGUUGGUAAUGCUCACCUACUUUUUGAUAAAUCAAUAAUCCUUAUUUGUCGAUAGAUGAUUAUGUUUACACUAAGGACGUAGAUGCUCUAAAAAUAAACUUAAGAUAGCAGCCUCCAAUCAAGUUGGGGAUUUGGUUGCCACAUAAGUAUUGCAUCCACAUUGAAUUAUUGUUAUAAUAUAGUGGUGUUUGGAUUUAGCCAGUGACAUGAGCAUAUAUGGUAGAGAGACUGUAGUUGUGAGGAUCACUUACAUCUAAGAUUAAAAAUAUAAAAGAUGUAUUAUUUUAUUAUAUUUUAUUGUGGUAAGAAGGGGGCCUUUCUCCUAUGAAUAUUGUCUGUUUCUUACGUAAGCCACCCAUAUAAUGUGUUUGCAACGUCAUUUUAUUAAGUUUUGGUUAUCUCCACCUCAGAUUUGUUUUGGUUGGUAUAUUGCGUGAGGAUUACUCACAUCUUAAUAAUUUGCAAUUCUCUUCCGCAAUUAUUCUGUUCAAACAUUAUAAAUCGAGAAGAUUGUUAUGACACAGUAAUGAUCAAUUGGAAAACACUUCAAUAGUACUUUGUAUAUCGCAUUUUCUCUUACGAUUUUUUAGGUUGUAAGGUUGUGUUUAGGGUUAUAUAAUUUAUCUUUUUAGGUUUAUAUAUGAUUUAUUCAUUUUUUUAUGGUGAAAUAAAUAGAAUUUCGAUACGAUUUAGAGUAUGAGUUUUGAAUUUCAGUCCACUUUUCCAUCUCCCAAAAUAGCAAUAAUUAAGGAUAACACUUUAAUACCCGGAUAAAAGAAAAAAAACUCACACUCUAAAUCAUAUUCGAAUUAUAUUUAUUUUAAAGUGUGAUUCCUUGGAAUGUAGAAUCCAUCAUCAAUUCUUUGGAUGUAUAAAUUCUUUUUUUUGGAUACAAAAUAAAUAGUAAUUUGAUGAUGAAACUAAUGACUUAACCCGGUUUGAAUUAAAGACAUCAAACUUUCAACCACACAUAGGCUUUGAUGACUCAAGUCGAGGAUUCAAAUCAAUUUCAUUAAUAAUUAUACAAUCUCAUUAAAAAAAAUGGAUAGUUGGUGACAUGAGAAAGAUAUACAACCUUAUAUAUUUAUUAUCAAAUUACAUAUAAUACAUUUGCAAUCUCAUUUGUUUAUAACUAGUGUCAUGUAUUGUCACACUAUACGAUUCUAAAUAGGAGCUUGUUAGGUUGUUAGGUAGUUAGGCUUACGGCAACACUUAAAAAGCAGCUUUAGCCCUAAGCUGGAAUCCAUAUCUGGCGCACUACUAUACUCAACUUGGAACAAAUUUAUUACCUUAAUAAUUUGAUCAUCUGAUUUGGUAUCUUUCAUUUCGCCCAAUUGGUUUUGUCGGCUUAAAAUUCUGGAAAAUAUAUAUAUAUAUUGUGCUAUUGUUAGAUGCUGAUCCCGAGCACGUAACAACGGGGACGGGUCUCUUCUAAUUAAAGGCAGGAUUUUCAAAGGGCUUCGUCUCCAACGUAACUAUCGACCAGCGGGUCUCGUCUCGUCAUCCUCGUCGUCGUUGUUCAUCUUCAAUACGAUCAUUAUACUAACUGAUAUGACCCCACGUGUAUUAAGGAACACGACGCUCCACAAGUAAUUUUAGAAAUAAAUAAUUUUUAUUUAUGGUCAAAAGUUAGAGUUUGUGAUACGAUUUUAAGUUUAAGUUUAUAAUGUCGUAUUUGAAGGUUAAGAUUUAGUGUUUAGGGUGUUAAAAUAUAUGUUCUUUUUUAAUAUAUAGAGUGUUAAAUAUUCAAUAAACCUUUUAAUUCAUCUGGUUUAUACGAAUUGUCCAAUAGCUAGUGCAAGGCUAGGAAUGGUUUAGGUAUGGAUAAUAUCUGGAUUCAUAUAUAUGAUAAUGAUGACGAACUCACAGUACUGUAUUCGAUAAAGCAUCUCAAUGGACCAUAUAUGUAUAUAUGUGGUCCAUUAUUAGUAUUAGUGGAUGAUGAGCAAUGAACAGCCACCAUCAUCAUCAAUCACUCGGUAAAGUAGCUGAUUCAUCGAGCAGCAAUUUGUUUGGGAGAUUCUUUCAUUUCUUUUGCCGUUUUGACAUUCUUACAUCACAAUUCAGUGGACUACGAAUCAAGCAUCCUUGUUUCAGGAAUUACAGCAACUCUCGUACGUGUCUCUUCACCUAUUUUUCAUUCAUAAUCAAACAACCCUGAUAAAUUUUAGAUAAGUUAUACAAAGCGUGUAGCGAUAAAGUAAGAUCAUUAAUGGAAAUAAAAUUAACACAAACAGAUAAACUAUUACCUAUGCCGAUUAAGUAGUCGUCAUCCAUAUUACUUUUCCGAUAUAUAUGAUCAACUUUGACCAUUCAGUCCCGAUUCAACAUCUCACGGAAAAUGGCAACCUCAAAAGAAUGUUGGUGUGUAAACUCACCAUUCUCCCAAUAAUGAAUGAAUCAUAACAUGCGAAUCCAACUGCACCCGCACAUGACAGUACCCUCUCUCCCAAGCAAGUUGUAACCCUUUCAAAACAACUCUCAAUCCAACCCUAAUGAUCGAGCAAGUUUCCAGGUUCGUGACAUUUAGCAUAUGCAGCUAAGCACUGUGGUUCGUGGCAUUUGGCAUAUGCAGCUAAGCACUGUGGUUCAUGGCAUUUGGCAUAUGCAGCUAAGCACUGUUUUAGUGGGUGAACCACUAUGAAAGAACUGGUAUGAGAGCCUCCUAUAUCGACUUGACCAAUAAGAUGAUAGGCUGUGACAGAGCCUCGGGAGGAGUAGUGCAGAUAUUUAUAAAUAUGCACUCGUUUCGGGUCUUCCAGAGAGACCAGCAGGCAACCCUGAACAGAAGACUAGAGCUCGUUGUCUUCAGACGGGGUGUAAUCCAAAAUAAAAGUGGAAAAUUUCAAUUCAUCUUGAUCUUCAGAAAUAUAAAUAAAUCGCUCACAUUUGGUAAUCGCGAACGAACAAUCCCAGUAUUUGUAUUGAAGAAAAAAUAGGAACUGUUUGUCAAAUCCAAUAUUUGUAUGAAAUCAGUAUGCUAGUCUGUAAACUUUUCCAAACCGGUUUUAUACCUCAAACACUCUAAGCAAUAAUAAAUCAAAGUGCAAAUGGUGCAAUUUUUUUUGUUGAUGAACAACGUUUUAUUAUUCACCAAAAAAUCAAAAUAGGUUCAAUACAAAAGAUGAGAGAGAACUUAUACAGUCUUGGUGAGUUUUCUUUUUUUAGGAAAACUCGGCCCUCAUUGUCAAGAUUCGACUUUAAGAUGUAAAAAGACAAAAUCAAGGAGAUGCAAAUCUCCCUUCCAUGAAAGUGUCCUAGCAUUGUCUCCUCCAUAUCAAAUUUUUACAAAAACGAAGUUGUUAAGUGCAAAACAGAAAAAAGAAAAAAAAAGCUCAUAUGACAUUACAAUCAACUCCUCUGAGACAAAAUGUAUCUCUCUGGAUAAUGGCAGCAAGACUCUCCUCAGACAAAAUAGUUCUCGUGAACUUUCUCCGGCAUCUCUCUCGCCAAAUAUAAUAAUUAAUAGUAUGCCAGACCACUUGAACAGCAGGGCGGACAGUUGGACGAAUGGAUUCAAGCUAGACAACCAAGCUCAAAGUGGCAUCCCAAUAAAAAGCAGAAAGGGAAAACAGGGAAGGUCGUGCUAACAAACAAAAUAGAUGAAAGAACAAUUACAGAAGAUGUGAUCUUUGAAGUCAAUACCAUUAGAGCAGAGAAAACAAAAGAUAACGAUAGGCAAUCCACAAGACGCAAUCAAAUUAUUAGUGGUAGAAAACACAAAUAAUAAGCCAAUUGACAAAGCAAUGAGCAGGAAUGCAAGAUCUUCUUCAAACAGUGGUAGACCAUUAAACUAUAUCAAACCUUGGCCGAAAAGAGUUCCAAACAGGAGUAAUGCAUAAGCAAGGAAAGGCCAAGGCAUCUCAACAAAAAGUACUAUCCAACUUUUGUGUAACAAAAGGAAAACUCAACGAUCAUGAUUUUAAGAAUUCACCUCCAAAAUCAAAAAAAAAGGCUUUGAUAGGACAAGACCACAAAUGGUGCAAUAUUGAUUAGUCAAGAAAUGAGAAUUAUUCAAAUUAAUUUCAAUUAAUUGAAACCUAAUCAGGAAAGCAUUUCCCAUGUUGUGGGAAUGACGCAGAUCGAAGUUGAUAUUUGAAGAAUCUGAAUUUAUGAAUAAAAGCUCUCUUUAACAUAUGUGUUACUUUCAAGUGAAUCAUAAUUUUUUGUUCUUUGGAACCAAAUUCUUUAUACAAGGGAUGAGUUCUGCAAUCCUCU
rnacentral:lncRNA from 1 species